rnacentral:rRNA from 1 species
GGAGGCGAAGGGAAACCGAGUGUUAACUGCGCGACUAGUUGCAAGGUAUAGACCCGAAACCCGGUGAUCUAUCCAUGGCCAGGAUGAAGGUGAGGUAACACUUACUGGAGGUCCGAACCCACGUAUGUUGAAAAAUGCGGGGAUGAGCUGUGGAUAGGAGUGAAAGGCUAAUCAAACCGGGAGAUAGCUGGUUCUCCUCGAAAGCUAUUUAGGUAGCGCCUCGUGUCUCACUCUCGGGGGUAGAGCACUGUUUGGGCUAGGGGGUCAUCCCGACUUACCAAACCCAUGCAAACUCCGAAUACCGAGAAGUGCAAUCACGGGAGACACACGGCGGGUGAUAACGUCCGUCGUGGAAAGGGAAACAACCCAGACCAUCAGCUAAGGUCCCAAAAUUAUGGCUCAGUGGAAAACGAUGUGGGAAGGCCCAGACAGCUAGGAGGUUGGCUUAGAAGCAGCCACCCUUUAAAGA